rnacentral:rRNA from 1 species
GCUAUACUGCANGUCGAGCGCAGGAAGCAAGUUGAUCCCCUUCGGGGGUGACGCUUGUGGAAUGAGCGGCGGACGGGUGAGUAACACGUGGGCAACCUGCCUGUAAGACUGGGAUAACCCCGGGAAACCGGGGCUAAUACCGGAUAAUACUUUCUUUUGCAUAAAGGAAAGUUGAAAGGCGGCUUCGGCUGUCACUUACAGAUGGGCCCGCGGCGCAUUAGCUAGUUGGUGAGGUAACGGCUCACCAAGGCGACGAUGCGUAGCCGACCUGAGAGGGUGAUCGGCCACACUGGGACUGAGACACGGCCCAGACUCCUACGGGAGGCAGCAGUAGGGAAUCUUCCGCAAUGGACGAAAGUCUGACGGAGCAACGCCGCGUGAGUGAUGAAGGUUUUCGGAUCGUAAAACUCUGUUGUUAGGGAAGAACAAGUUGGGUAGUAACUGACCCAACCUUGACGGUACCUAACCAGAAAGCCACGGCUAACUACGUGCCAGCAGCCGCGGUAAUACGUAGGUGGCAAGCGUUGUCCGGAAUUAUUGGGCGUAAAGCGCUCGCAGGCGGUCCUUUAAGUCUGAUGUGAAAUCUCGCGGCUCAACCGCGAACGGUCAUUGGAAACUGGAGGACUUGAGUACAGAAGAGGAGAGUGGAAUUCCACGUGUAGCGGUGAAAUGCGUAGAGAUGUGGAGGAACACCAGUGGCGAAGGCGACUCUCUGGUCUGUAACUGACGCUGAGGAGCGAAAGCGUGGGGAGCGAACAGGAUUAGAUACCCUGGUAGUCCACGCCGUAAACGAUGAGUG